AUUGAACGCUGGCGGCAGGCCUAACACAUGCAAGUCGAGCGGAUGAACGGAGCUUGCUCCUGGAUUCAGCUGCGGACGGGUGGGCGAUGCCUGGGAACAUGCCUAGUAGUGGUGGAUAACGUCCGGACGCGGGCGCUAAUACCGCAUACGUGCUGAGGAAGAACGUGUGGGAUCUUCGGACCUCACGCUAUCACAUGAGCCGAUGUCGGAUUAGCUAGUUGGCGGGGUAAAGGCCCACCAAGGCGACGAUCCGUAGCUGGUCUGAGAGGAUGAUCAGCCACACUGGAACUGAGACACGGUCCAGACUCCUACGGGAGGCAGCAGUGGGGAAUAUUGGACAAUGGGCGCAAGCCUGAUCCAGCCAUACCGCGUGGGUGAAGAAGGCCUUCGGGUUGUAAAGCCCUUUUGUUGGGAAAGAAAAGCAGCAGGUUAAUACCCCGCUGUUCUGACGGUACCCAAAGAAUAAGCACCGGCUAACUUCGUG
rnacentral:rRNA from 1 species